GUGGAGCCGAGCGGAGCCGAGCGAGUGAGAAGCCGGAGGCCGAGAGGGCCGGGCCGACUUGAAGAGUUUUGGACAAAGAUGAAGAAACAAAUCUAGAGACUGGAUGACCUUGGAUCUCAGAAAUCUUUUUUGGUAUUUCAGCAUGUGUAUGGAUGGUAUACUAAGAAUUGAUCACAUUUGGUUGUUGAGGGGCCAGGAUGGCUGAUUGGAAGUAGCUGCAGUCUGUGGCACUCACAGAGAGGAAUGAAAGGAGCAAGUGAAUUCAGCACCUUCAAUUGAGAUAUUCGGGUUCUCAUAUUGGGACUGACUAAGCAAAUAGCUUGACCCACAGAGAAUGAAAAGAAGUGGGGUGGGGUGAUGACCCACUUGGGAGCAGCACCAAGCCAAGGGAACCCCCACCCCCAGCCAAGGGAAGUGGUGAGUCAAUGCGUGACCCUUCCCCAGAAAUUACACUCAUCCCAUGGAUCUCUGCAAGCUGUGGAUCAGGAGAUCCCCUCAUGAGCCACAAUACCAGGGUCUUGGGCUCGAUACAUGGCCUGUGUGGAGUCUUGGCAGAGUGGCCACUCAGGCACACACAGACACCCAGGAGUUUUGCAUACUCCAGCCCCAGGAUCUGUGGCAAGGCAGAAGAUUCAUCUGUGCAUGUCCCUAGGAAGGGGGCUGAGUCUGGGGAGCCAAGUGGCAUCAUUCUGCAGGCCCCAUUUCCAUGGCAUCUCACAGGUUGAGACCCAAUGGCUUGGAAUUCCAGCCAGCCGGCAGCAGUAGGCUGGAGUCUGCCUGAGUCUGGACCAAGUUCCCAGGGGUAGGGGUGGCUGCCAUCUCUGUGGUUUGGUAGACUCAGUUGUUUCAGCCUGCCAGCUUUGAAAAAUACAGGUGGUCUGAACAAGGGGGGGAUCCCCACAGGACAGCACAGCUGCCUUGCCAGAUCUUGGCCAGACUGCUUUUUUAAGCAGGACCCUGAACCAUUUCUUCUCACUGGGUGAGACCUCCCUGCAGGGGCUUCAGCCACUCCAGCAAGUGUUCUAUAGACAGAGCUCUGAUCUCUACCCCCAGGGAGAGCUUUGUCCCACAAAGCUCCAGGGGGAGGGGUGGCUACCAUCUCUGCAGUUUGGUAGACUCAGCUGUUCCAGCCUGCUGGCUUUGGAGAAUACAAAUGGUCCAGAUGAGGAAUGGUCCUCCCCAACUCAGCUUACCUGCUCUACCAAAGGGCAGUCAGACUGCUUCUUUAGGUAGGUCCCUGAUCCUGUUCUUUCCCACUGGGUGAGACCUCCUAGCAGGGGUCUUCAACCACCUCCUGCAGCCACAUUCAGGCUGGCAACAAGUGAGUGGCCCCGGAGUUGGAGUUUCUGGAGGAAGGAGCAGGCUUCCCUCUUUGCUGUUUUGCAGGCAUCACUUGUGAUACCUCCAGGUAUGGGAAAAACCGAGGCAACUAGGGUCUGGAGUGGAACCCCAGCAAACCACAACAGCUUUACUGAAGAGUGGCCUGUUAAAACAAACAGAAAAUAACAACAUCCACAAAGAUCUCACAAAAGUCAGAAACCUCAAAGAUUGAAGGUAGAUAACCCCACAAAGAUGAGAAAAAAUCAACACAAAAACACUGAAAACU
rnacentral:lncRNA from 1 species